rnacentral:rRNA from 1 species
CCCCAAGCGUUACUGAGAAUCACUGGGUUUAAAGGGUGCGUAGGUGGUCCGUUAAGUUCGUUGUGAAAUCCCUGGGCUCAACCCAGGAAAUGCUUCGAAUACUGGCGGACUUGAGGCUAGUAGAGGUCACUGGAACUGACGGUGGAGCGGUGAAAUGCGUAGAUAUCGUCAGGAACGCCGAUGGUGAAGACAGGUGACUGGCCCGGUACUGACGCUGAGGUGCGAAAGCGUGGGGAGCAAACAGG